rnacentral:rRNA from 1 species
GUGCCAGCAGCCGCGGUAAUACGGAGGGAGCUAGCGUUGUUCGGAAUUACUGGGCGUAAAGCGCACGUAGGCGGCGAUUUAAGUCAGAGGUGAAAGCCCGGGGCUCAACCCCGGAACUGCCUUUGAGACUGGAUUGCUUGAAUCCUGGAGAGGUGAGUGGAAUUCCGAGUGUAGAGGUGAAAUUCGUAGAUAUUCGGAAGAACACCAGUGGCGAAGGCGGCUCACUGGACAGGUAUUGACGCUGAGGUGCGAAAGCGUGGGGAGCAAACAGGAUUAGAAACCCGGGUAGUCC